rfam:Candidatus Nomurabacteria bacterium RIFCSPHIGHO2_12_FTLL_37_29 rifcsphigho2_12_scaffold_12125, whole genome shotgun sequence.
GGGGAUGCAAGGCAUAGACAGUAGGCUUUUUGUUAUUGAUGCAUGCCGAGAAUGAACGUAAUCUCGUAAAACUUCGUUCAAAUGUUAAUUGCAAAAUUAGCUUCCAAGGUGAGAGCUUUGUCUCCGUACUUCGGUAUGAAUGACUUUGCUUUUGCUUCAGUUCCCGCUUACGCGUAACUGAUGUCUCUCUUAUAGACUUCCGAUAUAUAAGGGCAGGCAUAAUAUUAUCGGGAUAGGAAAAAGAAUGUUCCAACUUUUCUCCAAAACAAAGGGGCUCGAUUAAAAAAUAUUUGGCUUGCUUAAGAAUUUUUUAAUUUAAACAAAAAAGCACGCUAUGUAUGUAGACUUCUUUACAAUCACCUUCUGCACGGGGGCUCAUUUCCCCCCAUCUCCACAA